AACGAACGCCGGCGGCAGGCCUAACACAUGCAAGUCGAACGCCCCGCAAGGGGAGUGGCGCACGGGUGAGUAACGCGUGGGAAUAUGCCCUUCGGUUCGGAAUAACUCAGGGAAACUUGGGCUAAUACCGGAUACGGACUACGGUCGAAAGAUUUAUCGCCGAGGGAGUAGCCCGCGUAGGAUUAGCUAGUUAGUGAGGUAAUGGCUCACCAAGGCGACGAUCCUUAGCUGGUCUGAGAGGAUGAUCAGCCACACUGGGACUGAGACACGGCCCAGACUCCUACGGGAGGCAGCAGUGGGGAAUAUUGGACAAUGGGGGCAACCCUGACCAGCCAUGCCGCGUGAGUGAUGAAGGCCUUAGGGUUGAGAAGCUCUUUCGUCGGGGAAGAUAAUGACGGUACCCGAAGAAGAAGCCUCGGCUAACUCCGUGCCAGCCGCCGCAGUAA
rnacentral:rRNA from 1 species